UAGGGGAUAACUGAAAGCUUCAGAUAUCGAUUUCGAGUAUCGAGAAAUUCUCCUAUUCGGAAGAUUUCGAAAUAUUCGAAAUGUCUUUAAUUUAAAAAUCGCGAAAGUUUCAGAGUAGAAAUUUAAAAGUUCGAGAUCUCGUAAAAAUGUCUAGUUUGAAAUUUGCAAAUACAAUUUUCGAACCUAAAUACCUAGAAACUUUCGUUUCGAAACUGAAAGGUUGGAAGAAUCGGUGGAUCGCAGACCUAAAAUUUACGACGAUAUUCGUUCGGGCAAAUCUUUGCUACCAAGACAAACUAUUUCCAACUUAAUCCCAAAACACCCACGUAUUACGAGAAUAAUAAUAAUAAUAAUGAAAAAGAUUUUCUGACGAUAAACAACAGGUGGAAGUAAAUUGAAAUCACAACGAGACGUGUUGGCUUUCGACUUCGAGACGACACGAAAAUAGUGAUAUUAUGCGCGAAUCUACGCCGCACAAUUCUGGAAAAGCGGCGAAGGAACGUCUUCCAUCAUCGUUUCUAAUAUCCUUUGACAGUCUCGACCAUUUUGCGUUCAGCGACAGCUUUAACGAUUCAAUCACGAAUAAUUAAACGUAUCGGUUAUGAAAUGAGGACUCGAGAUUGGCGACAUCUAUGUAUCCGCUGCACCAGACUCCGUGGGUAUAGCGGUGUUAUUUACAGAAGGAAAAAUUAUUGUUCACUGCCAACUAUAAACGUUUGAAAAUCUGUUGCAUAAUUCGUUUCUCAGGUAAAAAUCGUGGUGUGUUUUUAAUUUUCUAAACGAUAGACGAAGAAUGAUUUGAUGUCUUCCGUAGUUCUACGUAUUAAUUUUACAGGACUUCUCGAGCGAUAGAAAUUAAUUAGAACUUAAUUUUUAGCUUAGGAUGCGAAAUUUGAAAUUUGAAAAAGCCCGCGCGCGCUAUUCGACUUGUAUUAUAAAAAUGUAUAGAGCAUUCCUCGCAAGCGGAACUUAAUUAUUCUUCACUAUGGUUUAGGUUAGGAUUACGAAUUUUAGUGUAGACAGAUUGCAGAAAAUUUGACGCAGCAGAUAUUUCGUUUGAAAGAACUUUUUGGAUUCGGCGUCGUAUAGAAUUCUAUAGAGGAUUCCUUGCAAAGAGAAUUUAAUUCUCUUUGGCUGUAGCUUAGGUUAGGUUUUGAAAUCUCGUUGUAAAAAAUUCCAGGAAUUUUAAAACCACCAUUUCGGCGCUCUUAAAAAUUGUAUAGAGCAUUCUUCUUGGAAGGGGAAUUUCAUUUCUUUUGGUCAGUUUUUGGUUGGAAUUAUAAAGUUUCAGAGUAAAGGAUUCCAGAAGAUUCAAAAUUAAAAGCUCUUGAUUUAAAAUUCAGAAUCUAAUUUUAGAUCGAUUGAAGGGGGAUGACUGUUGGAAUUGAAUUGGAAUUUUGGAGGCGGGAAAAUGUAAUAUUCUGGUGAAUUAUGCAGACAAAUUGACGUGGAUAAGUAUAAUAAAUCUUGUGGAUAAAGAUAGGAAUCGUAUCAUGGUUAGGUGCGAAUGUAAUCACAUGUAUUUAUAACAGACACCUUUAAAGGACUUUCAUUUGGUCCAUUUGUUGCAUUUCUAAAUUUAAAUUGUAAAAUCAUAAAGAGGAAAUAAAAGAAAAAAAAAUGAAAA